ACGAACGCUGGCGGCGUGCUUAACACAUGCAAGUCGCACGGAAAGGCCCUGCUUUUGUGGGGUGCUCGAGUGGCGAACGGGUGAGUAACACGUGAGUAACCUGCCCUUGACUUUGGGAUAACUUCAGGAAACUGGGGCUAAUACCGGAUAGGAGCUCCUGCUGCAUGGUGGGGGUUGGAAAGUUUCGGCGGUUGGGGAUGGACUCGCGGCUUAUCAGCUUGUUGGUGGGGUAGUGGCUUACCAAGGCUUUGACGGGUAGUCGGCCUGAGAGGGUGACCGGCCACAUUGGGACUGAGAUACGGCCCAGACUCCUACGGGAGGCAGCAGUGGGGAAUAUUGCACAAUGGGCGGAAGCCUGAUGCAGCAACGCCGCGUGCGGGAUGACGGCCUUCGGGUUGUAAACCGCUUUCGCCUGUGACGAAGCGUGAGUGACGGUAAUGGGUAAAGAAGCACCGGCUAACUACGUG
rnacentral:rRNA from 1 species